rnacentral:tRNA from 1 species
GCCGGGGCAGCCGGUACGGGUGUGGCCGGCGCUGCCGGUGCCGCCGGCACCGGCCUGGGCCGGGACAACGACCGUGACGGUGGCUUCGGCG